rnacentral:rRNA from 1 species
GCGUGCCUUUUGCAUAAUGAGCCUACGAGUUACUUUUACCGGCAAGGUUAAGCACUUAUGGUGCGCAGCCGUAGCGAAAGCGAGUCUGAACAGGGCGCUUUAGUCGGUAGUAGUAGACGCGAAACCGUGCGAUCUACCCAUGGGCAGGUUGAAGCUGUGGUAACACAUAGUGGAGGACCGAACCCGUUGACGUUGAAAAGUCUUGGGAUGACCUGUGGGUAGGGGUGAAAGGCCAAUCAAGCUCGGAAAUAGCUCGUACUCCCCGAAAUGCAUUUAGG